rnacentral:rRNA from 1 species
CCUACGGGCGGCAGCAGUGGGGAAUAUUGGGCCAUGGAGGAAACUCUGACCCAGCCCCGCCGCGUGAAUGAUGAACGUCUUCGGAUUGUAAAGUUCUUUUCUAAAGGAAGAAGAACGUGACGGUACCUUAGGAAUAAGCCUCGGCUAACUACGUGCCAGCAGCCGCGGUAAUACGUAGGACGCGAGCGUUAUGCGGAAUGACUGGGUGUAAAGGGUGUGUAGGUGGUUUGGCAAGUUAGUAGUGUAACUCCAAGGCUCAACCGUGGAACUACUACUAACACUGUUGGACUUGAGUGCAGGGGGGGCAGCCGGAAUUCCUGGUGUAGCGGUGGAAUGCGGAGAUAUUAGGAAGAACACCGGUGGCGAAGGCGGGUUGCUAGACUGUAACUGACACUGAGGCACGAAAGCGUGGGGAGCAAACAGGAUUAGAUACCCCAGUAGUC